CUGCCAGGCUGGUCUCCAACUCCUGGCCUCAAGUGAUUCACCCACCUCAGCCUCCCACAGUGCUAGGGUUACAGGUGUGAGCCACCGUGCCCAGCCUAUUCUUUCUGUUAAAUGGUAAUGUUGCAUUCAUUGGCAAACCUGUUCUCAUCUCUUCUGCUCCACAUCCUUUCAGCCUGUGGGUAACCACCAUUUUGCUCUACUUCCAUGAAGUUAGGUUUAAAUUUCACAUAAAAAGGAUAUCAUGUGACGUUUGUCUUUCUAUGCUUUGCAUAUUUUACUUAACAUAAUGUCCUCCAGGUACAUCCAUGUUGCUGCACAGAUUAUUAUUCUGUUUUAGAAAAAAUAGUGUGGAGAGUCUUCCAAAAAUUAAAAAUAGAACUACUCUAUGAUUCAGCAAUUUCAAUACUUGGUAUAUAUCAAAAGGAAAUAAAAUCAGUAUGUCAAACUCCCAUGUUUAUUGCAUCACUAAUUAUAAUAGCCAGACUAUUACUUCACUUAAGAAUUAUUUUCAUCUCUUUUUGAUACAUUACAUUUCUAAACUUUUAAAGGAUUUAUGUCUGGUUUUCAGUUUUAGAAACUAUUUAAUCACCAAUUUUUUAAAUAUUGCCUUUCAUUUUUUAUAUAGUCUAGUAAAGCAAUUAGGUGUUCUUCUCAAUCCAGUCUUCAUAUAUGUAUAAAUAUAUUUCAUUCUCUAUUAACUUGCCUGCUAUAAAAUAUGUAACUACAUCAAUUUUGCUUAGUAUUCUACCUUAUUGGCCUGUCGUCAGCUCAGUGUAUUUUAGUAUGCACCCCAUAUUUUGCACAUUACAUUGUUUCACCACAUUUGUAAUAGCUUACUUUCAAUUUGCUUUUUUUCCAGAUAUGAUUUGAGAAGCAUAGUUUUUUUGUUGUUGUUUGCCCAUUACUUUGGUUUUCUGUUUUUUCAUUGUAAUGACAAAUAUUUUAACAUAAGCCAAAUAUCUGAUAUUUAUGUAUCAUAUAAUUUCUUUUGACCCUUCAUCUUGGUAGUUUAUCUAAUUCUGUGCAAUAUAAUGUAUACCUUAGUUUUCACAUAUAGAAAAUACCAUAUUUGGAAUGUCUCCAGUCUGUGUAUUUCUUUGCUGAUUCCAUUUGCCUUAUUGAAAGUUGAACAACCCACAUGAAUCUGACAUUCUUGUAAUUAGUCCUAUCUGAAGAGAGCAUGUGCUUCUUAGGUUGACUGUUCCUCUGGAUUAACCCUUUCAUUUACUUCUGGUCCUGGGAAUUUCUCAUAUUUUUCUUCAACUAUAUUUAGCAUAAUACAGAUUUUUUAACUUCUUGAUAAUUUUAAUUAUCUGUAUUAAAUGUUUAAAAAUAUAUAUUAUUUUCUUGCAAAGCAUAAAUAGGCAACAGUUGCAUACAUUAGUAAAAUAUGUCACAUAGAUUGUCUAUGACAUAAAACAUCAUCUCACCCGAAAUCUCAAGUUUCUUAGUGUAGAAGACCUCCAUCCCAAUACAUCUAUUGUAGUAAUUUGUGAAGUGUGAUUACUCUUUACUACUAUGUAUGUAUUAUAUAUGUAUUAUCCACAGAUUUCAGAAAUACUCCACUGCAAUGAAUAUAUAGCCAGAAUUACUGUUUUAUAUAAUAUAAAGCUAAUAUGGCUUAAAUUAUUUAUCUUAAUUCAGAUUUUUUUCUACAAUUACCAUUAUUUCUUAUUAGGACUUCCCUGAUAUCAAAAACAUAAGGUAGAUAUAGAUUUUUUAAAAUAAUCUGGAAGAUGUUGAAAAGGGUUCUAAAUAGAGUUUGCACGUGGCUAGAUAGUACUUGUUAAUUACCUUUAACUUUUUUUUUUUUUUAACAUUUAUUGAGUAUAAUUGGCAAACUAAAAGUGUAUAUAUUUUAGGAUGUAGAAUAUGAUGCUUUAAGACAUGUAUACAUUUUUAAUUACCUUGGUUAAACUAGUUAACAUAUUUAUCACAUUACAUAGUUACUUUAUAUGUAUGUGUGUGUGAGUGGGUAUGUGUGGUAAGAUUACUUGAGAUUUGAUUUUGAAAAAAUUUUAAGUAUACCGUAUUAUUAACUAAGUUUAGUCACCAAUCUGUAUGUUACAUUCCCAGCAUUUGUUUGUUUUAUAGGUGAAAGUAUGUAUCUUUUGACUGAUACCUUGUCAUUCCCUCCCACAUCCUAACCUGUAGUAAUUAUUAUUCUUCUGUUUCUAUGAGUCUAAUUUUUUAAAGAUUCCACAUAAAUACAAAAUCAUGCAGUACUUGUCUUUCUGUAUCUGGCUUAUUUCACUUAGCAUAAUGUCUUCAUGGUUCAUCAGUGUUGUUGAAAAUGGCAAAAUUUUCAUCUUUAUUAAAGAUCAAUUACAUAUA